rnacentral:rRNA from 1 species
AUUGAACGCUGGCGGCAGGCUUAACACAUGCAAGUCGAGCGGGAAAAGGUAGCUUGCUACCUGACCUAGCGGCGGACGGGUGAGUAAUGCCUAGGAAUCUGCCUAUUAGUGGGGGACAACAUUCCGAAAGGAAUGCUAAUACCGCAUACGCCCUACGGGGGAAAGCAGGGGAUCUUCGGACCUUGCGCUAAUAGAUGAGCCUAAGUCAGAUUAGCUAGUUGGUGGGGUAAAGGCCUACCAAGGCGACGAUCUGUAGCGGGUCUGAGAGGAUGAUCCGCCACACUGGGACUGAGACACGGCCCAGACUCCUACGGGAGGCAGCAGUGGGGAAUAUUGGACAAUGGGCGAAAGCCUGAUCCAGCCAUGCCGCGUGUGUGAAGAAGGCCUUUUGGUUGUAAAGCACUUUAAGCGAGGAGGAGGCUACUUGGAUUAAUACUCUAGGAUAGUGGACGUUACUCGCAGAAUAAGCACCGGCUAACUCUGUGCCAGCCGCCGCAGUAACAC